rnacentral:rRNA from 1 species
CCUACGGGAGGCUGCAGUAGGGAAUAUUGCUCAAUGGGGGAAACCCUGAAGCAGCAACGCCGCGUGGAGGAUGAAGGUUUUCGGAUUGUAAACUCCUUUUGUUAGAGAAGAUAAUGACGGUAUCUAACGAAUAAGCACCGGCUACCUCCGUUCCAGCAGCCGCGGUCAUACGGAGGGUGCAAGCGUUACUCGGAAUCACUGGGCGUAAAGAGCGCGUAGGCGGGAUAGCAAGUCAGAUGUGAAAUCCUAUGGCUUAACCAUAGAACUGCAUUUGAAACUGUUAUUCUAGAGUAUGGGAGAGGUAGGUGGAAUUCUUGGUGUAGGGGUAAAAUCCGUAGAGAUCAAGAGGAAUACUCAUUGCGAAGGCGACCUGCUAGAACAUAACUGACGCUGAUGCGCGAAAGCGUGGGGAGCAAACAGGAUUAGAUACCCCAGUAGUC